ensembl:lncRNA
UUGAUUGGUUACUUGUAGACGCCAUCUUGACUACCGGUCGUUGAUUGGUUACUUGUAGACGCCAUCUUGACUACCGGUCGUUGAUUGGUUACUUGUAGACGCCAUCUUGACUACCGGUCGUUGAUUGGUUACUUGUAGACGACUUCCUGCCUUUGCCAACCACCAGAGAAGUUUCCAGAACCGCUAGUAUUAAAACAUGUUUAUUUGGAUUAAAAAGCCUGUAUGGAACAUCCAGUUAUACAGUAUGUAACGACACAAAGCAGGUAAACGCAGAGAGAAAGAAAACCAACCUCCACUUAAGUCACAUUUGACUUGACACCCCCAUUAGAAAGUGACCACUAGGUUACCUUAUGAAAUUCAGGAUCAGGUAAAGUACCAGGUUAAAAACAAAAGAAAUACAACAUCACUGGGAUGGUUUAACAGACCUUCAGAAAAUGGCAAUUGAACUGCACCCCCAUUGGGUACACUCAAGGCACGGCACCACCCGUCACAUACCCGAAUGUGGAUGACCAUUCUAGUAAUUCUAUUUCUACGGUUGAAAAGCACUGUGCUGUAAGGCUGGCUUGCUGCUGACAUUCUGAUACUGGGAUAGAUUCAACAGGAUUCAGCAAACGGUUUCACAUGUAGAAUUACAACGGCUGCCAUUUUGGCACCAAAGUAAAGUACUGAGAUGUAAUAUGGAGGGUAGUUUGGUGUCUAUGGAGGGUAGUUUGGUGUCUAUGGAGGGUAGUUUGGUGUCAAUAUGGAGGGUAGUUUGGUGUCAAUAUGGAGGGUAGUUUGGUGUCAAUAUGGAGGGUAGUUUGGUGUCCUAUGGAGGGUAGUUUGGUGUCCUAUGGAGGGUAGUUUGGUGUCUAUGGAGGGAUAGUUUGGUGUCUAUGGAGGAUAGUUUGUGUCAAUAUGGAGGGUAGUUUGGUGUCUAUGGAGGGUAGUUUGGUGUCUAUGGAGGGUAGUUUGGUGUCAAUAUGGAGGGUAGUUUGGUGUCUAUGGAGGGUAGUUUGGUGUCUAUGGAUGGUAGUUUGGUGUCAAUGGAGGAUAGUUUGGUGUCAAUGGAGGGGUAGUUUGGUGUCUAUGGAGGAUAGUUUGGUGUCAAUAUGGAGGGUAGUUUGGUGUCAAUAUGGAGGGUAGUUUGGUGUCAAUAUGGAGGAUAGUUUGGUGUCAAUAUGGAGGGUAGUUUGGUGUCAAUAUGGAGGGUAGUUUGGUGUCUAUGGAGGGUAGUUUGGUGUCUAUGGAGGGCAGUUUGGUGUCACUAUGGAGGACAGUGUGGUGUCAUUAUGGAGGGCAGUGUGGUGUCAAUAUGGAGGACAAUUUGGUGUCAAUGUGGAGGGUAGUUUGUCACUGUGGAUGGUAGUUUGGUGUCUGGAGGACAGUGUGGUGUCAAUAUGGAGGACAAUUUGGUGUCAAUGUGGAGGGUAGUUUGGUGUCAAUAUGGAUGGUAGUUUGGUGUCAAUAUGGAUGGUCGUUUGGUGUCAAUAUAGAGGGUAGUUUGUCACUGGAUGGUAGUUUGGUGUCUGGAAGGUAGUGUGGUGUCAAUGUGGAGAGUAGUGUGGUGUCAAUGUGGAGAGUAGUGUGGUGUCAAUGUGGAGGGUAGUGUGGUGUCAAUGUGGAGGGUAGUGUGGUGUCAAUGCGGAGGGUAGUGUGGUGUCAAUGCGGAGGGUAGUGUGGUGUCAAUGCGGAGGGUAGUGUGGUGUCAAUGCGGAGGGUAGUUUGGUGUCAAUACGGAGGGUAGUGUGGUGUCAAUGCGGAGGGUAGUUUGGUGUCAAUGCGGAGGGUAGUUUGGUGUCAAUACGGAGGGUAGUGUGGUGUCAAUACGGAGGGUAGUGUGGUGUCAAUGCGGAGGGUAGUGUGGUGUCAAUACGGAGGGUAGUUUGGUGUCAAUGCGGAGGGUAGUGUGGUGUCAAUGUGGAGGGUAGUGUGGUGUCAAUGUGGAGGGUAGUGUGGUGUCAAUGUGGAGGGUAGUUUGGUGUCAAUGUGGAGGGUAGUUUGGUGUCAUUGUGGAGGACAGUGUGGUGUCAAUAUGGAGGGUAGUUUGGUGUCAAUGUGGAGGGUAGUUUGCCAAACUGUUUUCGAUCUAUUCCUUAUCAUACUGAGAUGUAAACAGAAUGCUCAUCAACCACAUCAGUACUACAACACAUACUCAUUCAUUCGCUUAACAAACACUUUCUCAGUCCCUGUACCUCACACACCCACACAGACCUGCUAUAUACACAGUGGACAAAACAUUAGGAACACCUUCCUAACAUUCAAUUGCACCCCCCUCUUGCCCUCAGAAUGGCCUCAAUUCGUCAGGUUAUGGACUCUACGGAAAGCGUUCCACAGUGAUGCUGGCCCAUGUUGACUCCAAUGCUUCCCACAGUUGUGUGAAGUUGGUUGGACCUCCUUUGCUUGGUGGACCAUUCUUAAUACAAACAGGAAACGGUUGAGCGUGAAAAAGCAGCGUUGGAAGUUCUUGACACAAACCGGUGCGCCUGGCACCUACUACCAUACUGUUCAAAGGCAAUUCAAUAUUUAGUCUUGUCCGUUCACCUUCUGAAUGGCACUGAUACACCAAGGCUCAAGAAUCCUUCUCUAAUCUGAAUCCUUCUUUAAUCUGAAUCCUUCUUUAAUCUGUAUCCUUCUCUUCAUCUACACUUGACUAAAGUGGAUUUCGAAUCGAUAAAAACAUCAUAGGUUUUACCUGGAUUCAGCAAUGCUUUUUAUACUCGGUGUAUAUUCACUCCACAUGCUGUUCUGUUACAGAUGGAAUUUAAAAUGGAUUCAAUUGAGAUUUUGUCACUGGACUACACACAAUACCCCAUAAUGUCAAAGUGGAAAUAUGUUGUUUUUUUUAGAAAUGUUUACAAAUGAAUAAAAAAUGAAAAGCUGAAAUGUCUUGAGUCAAUAAGUUUUCAACCCCUUUGUUAUGGGAAGUCUAAAUAAGUUCAGGAGUAAACGUGUGCUUAACAAGUCACAUAAUAAGUUGCAUGGACUCACUCUGUGUUCAAUAAUAGUGUUUAACGUGAUUUUUGAAUGACUACCUCAUCUCUGUACCCCACAUACACAAUUAUCUGUAAGGUCUCUCAGUUGAGCAGUGAAUUUCAAACACAGAUUCAACCACAAAGACCAGGGAGGUUUUCCACAGCCUCGCAAAGAAGGGCCAGAGGGAAAAGAAGGACGCAUGUACAGAAUACAAAUAUUCCAAACCAAGGCACUUAAGUAAAACGGCAAAAAAUGUGUCAAAGACAUGAACUUUUUGUCCUGAAUACAAAGCAUUAUGUUUGGGGAAAUACAACACAUUACAGAGUACCACUCUUCAUAUUUUGAAGCAUGGUGGUGGCUGCAUCAUGUUAUGGGUAUGCUUGAAAUCCUUUAGGACUAGGUAGUUUUUCAGGAUAAAAAAGAAAUGGAAUUGAGCUAAACACAGGCAAAAUCCUAGAGGAAAACCUGGUUCAGUCUGCUUUCCAACAGACACUGGGAGAUGAAAUCACCUUUCAGCAGGACAAUAACCUAAAACAUAAGGCCAUUUACACACUGGAGUUGCUUACCAAGACGUCAUGGAAUGUUCCUGAAUGGCCUAGUUACAGUUUUGAUUGAAUCCUGUUCUUGAUAUAGAUUUUCAAAUAAAUUUGUCUAGCAAUGAUCAACAACCAAUUUGACUGAGCUUAAAGAAUUUUGAAAAUUAUAAAUGGGCAAAUGUUACACAAUCCACAUGUGGAAAGCUCUUAGAGAUUUACCCAGAAAGACUCAUAGCUCUUAGAGAUUUACCCAGAAAGACUCACUGUCAGUGGUGCUUCUACAAAGUAUUGACUCAGGGGUGUAAAUACUUAUGUAAAUUAGAUAUUUCUGCAUUUCAUUUUCAAUAAAUUUGCAAACAUUUCUAAGAACAUGUUUUCACUUCGUCAUUAUGGGCUAUUGUAUGUAGAUCUGUGAGAAAAAGAAACUAUUUAAUCAAUUUUGAAUUCAGGCUGUAAAACAAAAUAUGGAAUAAGUCAAGGGGUAUGAAUAUUUUCUGAAGGCACAUAUUCAAAGAUACACUACAUUAUUCAAAGUAUG